GAUGAACGCUGGCGGCGUGCCUAAUACAUGCAAGUCGAGCGAACGGACGAGAAGCUUGCUUCUCUGAUGUUAGCGGCGGACGGGUGAGUAACACGUGGAUAACCUACCUAUAAGACUGGGAUAACUUCGGGAAACCGGAGCUAAUACCGGAUAAUAUUUUGAACCGCAUGGUUCAAAAGUGAAAGACGGUCUUGCUGUCACUAAUAGAGGGUUCCGCGCUGCUUUGGCUAGUUGGUAAGGUAACGGCUUACCAAGGCAACGAUGCAUAGCCGACCUGAGAGGGUGAUCGGCCACACUGGAACUGAGACACGGUCCAGACUCCUACGGGAGGCAGCAGUAGGGAAUCUUCCGCAAUGGGCGAAAGCCUGACGGAGCAACGCCGCGUGAGUGAUGAAGGUCUUCGGAUCGUAAAACUCUGUUAUUAGGGAAGAACAUAUGUGUAAGUAACUGUGCACAUCUUGACGGUACCUAAUCAGAAAGCCACGGCUAACUACGUG
rnacentral:rRNA from 1 species